rnacentral:rRNA from 1 species
CCUACGGGUGGCAGCAGUGAGGAAUAUUGGUCAAUGGACGAGAGUCUGAACCAGCCAAGUAGCGUGAAGGAUGACUGCCCUAUGGGUUGUAAACUUCUUUUAUAUGGGAAUAAAACGUUCCACGUGUGGGAUUUUGUAUGUACCAUAUGAAUAAGGAUCGGCUAACUCCGUGCCAGCAGCCGCGGUAAUACGGAGGAUCCGAGCGUUAUCCGGAUUUAUUGGGUUUAAAGGGCGCGUAGGUGGAUUGUUAAGUCAGUUGUGAAAGUUUGCGGCUCAACCGUAAAAUUGCAUUUGAAACUGGCAGUCUUGAGUACAGUAGAGGUGGGCGGAAUGCGUGGUGUAGCGGUGAAAUGCUUAGAUAUCACGAAGAACUCCGAUUGCGAAGGCAGUUCACUGGACUGCAACUGACACUGAGGCUCGAAAGUGUGGGUAUCAAACAGGAUUAGAUACCCGGGUAGUC